rnacentral:rRNA from 1 species
AACAGGAUUAGAUACCCUGGUAGUCCACGCCCUAAACGAUGUCGACUGGGUGUUGGGGAAGUGAUUCCUCAGUGCCGAAGCUAACGCGUGAAGUCGACCGCCUGGGGAGUACGGCCGCAAGGUUAAAACUCAAAGGAAUUGACGGGGACCCGCACAAGCGGUGGAUGAUGUGGAUUAAUUCGAUGCAACGCGAACAACCUUACCUACCCUUGACAUGUCCGGAACCCUGCUGAGAGGCGGGGGUGCCCGAAAGGGAAUCGGAACACAGGUGCUGCAUGGCUGUCGUCAGCUCGUGCCGUGAGAUGUUGGGUUAAGUCCCGCAACGAGCGCAACCCUUGUCCCUAGUUGCUACGCAAGGGCACUCUAGGGAGACUGCCGGUGACAAACCGGAGGAAGGUGGGGAUGACGUCAAGUCCUCAUGGCCCUUAUGGGUAGGGCUUCACACGUCAUACAAUGGACGGUACAGAGGGUUGCCAAGCCGCGAGGUGGAGCCAAUCCCAGAAAGCCGUUCGUAGUCCGGAUCGCAGUCUGCAACUCGACUGCGUGAAGUCGGAAUCGCUAGUAAUCGCGGAUCAGCAUGCCGCGGUGAAUACGUUCCCGGGUCUUGUACACACCGCCCGUCAUACCAUGGGAGUGGGUUCUACCAGAAGUAGGUAGGCUAACCGCAAGGAGGCCGCUUACCACGGUAGGAUUCAUGACUGGGGGUGAAGUCGUAACAAGGUAGCCGUAUCGGAAGGUGCGGCUGGAUCACCUCCUU